GUACAGCAAGGCCAAUUAGCCGAGCCACACUGCAGAUUUUGUGCCAAAUCGUUCAUCUCUAAUUCACGCGCUAACUCCGCGCGUGUGAUGUCCGAUUUCGAAACCCUAGAGAUGAGUGACAGUGGGCAGUGGCCACUGUGCUACGAGUAGAGCCCGUGAAGAUUGUUGGGAGCGUCAAACAACCCCCAAUUUCACCUCCGAUUCUUCACCGUUUCUUCUUCUCAUGUAGAUCCUUAGCCUCACACUUUCCCUUCAUCAGAGUUCACCUUCAGGGAGCACCUUCCAUUUUCUUCUUCAGGUAUUGUAAUAAUUUUUCCUGGGAGAAAUUGUUAUGGCUCAGAGCUCUGAUGAGGAUACUGAUAUAAGUGACUCUGAAAUCACUGAAUACGAAGAUAAAUUUUAUGAAGAACUGCAAAAUGGAACCCAUGAUGUGAAAACCUCGGAUGAGACUUACACUUGCCCGUUCUGCCCUAAAAAGAGGAAACGGGAUUAUUUGUACAAGGAACUCCUUCAACAUGCUUCUGGGGUGGGUCAGAGUAGCUCACAAAAGAGAAAGGCAAGAGAGAAGGCUAAUCAUUUGGCUUUGGUGAAAUAUCUGGAGAAGGAUGCUUUGGCCGUGGAUGUUCCAUCAAAACCUGUGGACGAAGGCAAACAUGACGUUAAUUCUGAUGAGCAGUUUGUGUGGCCUUGGAUUGGAAUUGUAGUUAAUAUUCCUACUAGACGGGCAGAAGAUGGACGCUGUGUUGGUGCAAGUGGUUCCAAGCUGAGGGAUGAGUACAAAAGCAGGGGUUUUAAUCCGUUUAGAGUCAAUCCUCUAUGGAAUUUCCGGGGUCACUCUGGAACUGCUCUUGUGGAGUUCAAUAAAAACUGGCCAGGGUUUGAUAAUGCAUUGGCAUUUGAAAGGGCAUAUGAAACAGAUCAUCAUGGGAAAAAAGAUUGGUUUGCUAAGUCUGAGCAGAAGUCUGGUCUUUAUGCAUGGGUAGCCCGAGCAGAUGACUAUAACGCCAACAAUAUCAUUGGGGAAAAUCUGCGAAAGAUGGGGGAUGUCAAAACCAUAUCUGAACUGAUGGAGGAAGAAGCUCGAAGGCAGGAUAAACUUGUGUCCAAUUUGACUAACAUUAUUCAGGUCAAGAACAAACACUUACAAGAGAUAGAAGUAAGAUGCCAUGAGACAACGCUCAAAAUGGACAUGGCAAUGGAGGAAAAAGAUAAGCUCAUUCAAGCUUAUAAUGAAGAGAUAAAGAAGAUACAAUCAAGUGCAAGGGAUCACUUUCAGAGGAUCUUUAGUGAUCACGAAAAGCUUAAGUGGCAACUAGAAUCUCAGAAAAGUGAGCUGGAGUUGCGAAAAGUCGAACUGGAAAAGCGUGAGGCGCAUAAUGAAAGUGAAAGAAAGAAGUUGGCAGAAGAGAUUGAGGAGAAUACAUUGAGAAAUAGCUCUCUUCAGAUGGCUGCUAUAGAACAACAGAAAGCUGAUGAAAAAGUGUUGAAAUUGGCUGAAGACCAAAAGAAGCAAAAAGAAGAACUCCAUGCUAAAAUCAUUCAGCUUGAAAGACAAUUGGAUAUGAAACAAAAGCUUGAAUUGGAGAUUCAGCAACUUAGAGGAUCAUUAAGUGUGUUGAAGCACAUGGAAGAUGAUGAUGAUGCAGAAGUUUUGAAGAAAGUAGAUGAUUUACAUAUGGAUUUAAGAGAAAAGGAACAAUCACUUCAAGACAUAGAUGCAUUGAACCAAACACUAAUCGUUAAAGAGCGUAAGAGUAAUGAGGAGUUGCAAGAAGCUCGAAAAGAAUUGGUGGAGGGCCUUAAAGAGCUACCAGCUCAGGGAAAUAUUCGUGUAAAGAGAAUGGGACAACUUGACGGUAAACCAUUCCUUGAAUUUUUUGCGAGAAGAUACAAUGAGGAAGAGGCUGAAGAGAGGGCUUCAGAACUCUGUUCGUUGUGGGAAGAGUAUUUGAAGGACCCAGAUUGGCAUCCAUUCAAAGUUAUCACAAUUGAUGGGAAAGAAACGGAAAUUAUAAAAGAAGAUGAUGAAAAGCUGAAUGGACUGAAAAAUGAGAUGGGUGAAGGAGCAUACAAUGCAGUGGUGGCAGCUUUGACCGAGAUAAAUGCAUAUAAUCCUAGUGGGCGUUACAUAAUCUCAGAAAUAUGGAACUAUGCAAAGGGAAGGAGAGCAACUUUAGAAGAAGGAGUAGAAUUUCUGAUACAAAACUGGAGAUCACAAAAACGAAAGCGAGGAGGAUGAGGAUGAAGUGAAUAUUGGUAUGCAAUCUAUUUAGGUUGAGUAGUAUAGCUACAACCAAGAAAGCAAGAUAUUUAAAGGCUGAACGAUGUGUUGGUUAGAUAUUCCUGGUGAUUAACCAACCAGGACUUAACAUAUUGCAUUCUAAGAGAGGUUGCAUGCAUCAACACUGGGAGGACUGAGGAGGGCUGCCACACCACUUGGUUGUUUAUGGUUCUAAGUAAAUUAUGAAAUUUGUAAACAAUUUAUUUCGUUUGACACUUUAUGCUUCAUUGGGCAUAUCUUGCCGAAUCACGAGAAUGAAACUGCACUCUUUGCGGCAGCCUUUUGGGCUGUCUCUGCCAUGUGAAUGACAUAGAUGUAAUAUUCCUUUUUC